rnacentral:rRNA from 1 species
UGCAGAGGGUGCGAGCGUUAAUCGGAAUUACUGGGCGUAAAGCGUGCGUAGACGGUAGCGUAAGUCAGAUGUGAAAGCCCCGGGCUCAACCUGGGAAUUGCAUUUGAGACUGCUCUGCUCGGGUGCGGAAGAGGGAAGCGGAAUUUCCGGUGUAGCGGUGAAAUGCGUAGAUAUCGGAAGGAACGCCAGUGGCGAAAGCGGCUUCCUGGUCCGACACCGACGUUCAGGCACGAAAGCGUGGGGAGCAAACAGG